rnacentral:piRNA from 1 species
AUUGUAAGAAAUCAAUGAAUGCUAUGGUACAUAGUGGGCUAAAAAGAAAGGAAAAUGCGCCUAAACGAAUUCUACUCGAGAUAAGAAAUGAAAUCGAGGGAGUUCUAUUAAGGCUUUUGAAAUCAAAAUAAAAAUAAUAUAAAAAUAGUUGAAUGAAAUCAAAAUUGAAUGUGUUUGGUUGAAAAAAAAAAUUGUUUUGUUGCAUGGUGAUAAGGGAAGAUGCCUAGUUACUUUUUGCUCGAAUUUUGGAAAAGAAUUCGAGGAAAUUUCAUAAGGUCGUUUGAAAUCAAAAUAAAAAUAAAAUAAAAAUAGUUGAAUGAAAUCAAAAUUGAAUGUGUUUGGUUGAAAAGGAAAAAUAUUUUGUUGCAUGGUGACAAAGACAAAUGCUUAGUUACUUUUUUGCUCGAAUUUUGAGAAAAGAAAUCGAGGAAAUUUCAUAAGGUCUUUUGAGAAAUCAAAGUAAAAUAAAAAGUUGAAAGAAAUCAAAGUGAAUGCUUGAUGCAUGGUGGAAAAAAAAAGGAAAAAUGCCUAACCAUAUUCUCGCUCGAAAUUGGGAAUGGAAAACGAGGGAUUUUUAUUAGGGCUUUUGAGAAAUCAAAAAAUAAUUAAAAAUAAAAAGUUGGAGGAAAUCAAAAAUAAUAUAAAAGUUGGGAGAAAUCAAAGUAAAUAUUUUGUUGCAUGGUGAAAAAAGGAUAGAAAAAAAAAGAAUGUUUUUGUAAAUCAAAAUGAAAUAUAAUAUCCAAUUUUGAAAGAAAACCAAUGAGUUUUUGUUGAUUGGAAACUAUGAUAACAUAACUAAGUGGUAAAUAUAUGAUAAUUAAUGAUUAAAAGUGAUGUUAAGUUGAAUAGAUUGAUAAAUUGAUUGAAUAUUUACAUUUUUAAUUGAGAGAAAAUAAUGAAAAUGAUUGAUAUGAAAAAUAAGGUGUAUUGGUUUGAACCCUUUGGUAUCUACAUGCCCUGAUCUAAAUGUAUUGAUUGCUCCAUUUUGCCCUAUAAAUGUUUUAAUUGCUCAAUUAUGCCCUAUAAAUUUUUUGUCUCAUCUGUAGCGACACUUAGGUGAAAACGUGAUUCUAGCCCUCAAGUGCGUUUAUGUUAUGUGUACAGGAGACAUGGAAAUCUAUAUAACCUUUAUGUGUAAUUUUUUGUCUUUGUGUGUGUUGUGAAAAAAUGUUAGAAGUCUGUUGUGUAAGAAAUGUGUGAGCUAGUUCUAUGUGUUGUCUUGUGGAUGUGGAAUUGGGUGGUAAAAAUCGAUAUGUAGACUCGAACUGGAAUCAAAAAUCGGUGGCAUAGCGAGGUUCCCAGUUGACCUCAAUAGGGGACCUUCUCAUUGUAAUUAGAGAUACGGAAGUGGGGUGUGUCGGGCAAAAGAGAGGGAAUGAAAUUGGAGAUCGGACGAGGCGCUCCGCUUUGUUUGCAGAGGCCGAAUUUAUCGCCGCGGACUACACUUCCUGUCGUAGUGUCUCAAAAUUCUCAUUUCCUGCCGUCUAUUUAUUUUGGGGUGUGGCUCGGGGCUUGUUUUUGGAGUACGACUUCUCCGACAUUGGUUGGUCAUCUUUUUCAGUUACUGCUAUCUCUUCGGAGUUUAUUUAGAUUUUCUGCGAAGAUGGUUCCUAAAAUUAUGAGAAGUUUUAUAAAUGUUUGUCCACAAUGAAGAACUGCUUGUCCAAAAUUAAAAACUGCUUGUCCACAAUGAAAAACUGCUUGCCCAAAAUUAAAAACUGCCUCUUGUAGUUUGAAAAUUUUAUGAGCGGACAUGGUAUAGAUAAAUAAAUAGUUAAGGAAUAAAAUUGGUAUACAUUUGUAUGGUAGAACUAACAAACAAAGGAUGAAAAUCAGAUGAAAAAUAGGGUAUUGCCCCAUGUUCGUCCAUAUUUUUGUAACUGGGGACUCUGAAAUAUUUGCUUGAACCUUAUUAAUUGUAGAAUUUGAAUGAUUGGUAGGUUCGCAGUUCUCCUGUUUGAUAUCUUUAGGGGGUGGUGUGAUAUGAUUGAGCUGGUUGUCAGGUUUGCAGUUUUUAACAUCGGGGAAGAGUGAUGUAAAUCGUCUUGUUGCAAAAAUGGCAGGGUCUAAAUGCCUGAAAGGUUCGCUGCGGGUGGGUUUGAACCUUAAUGACUCUGUUGGGAAUAAUUCGGGUGUUAAAUGUUUGAAAGGGAACGUGUAAUUGGGGUUGUGCUUUAUAUGAUAUGUGCUAACGGCGGGUGGUGAUAUAUAAUGGAUUUUUUCUGUAUACAGUUUAAGUUUGUUGACGUGGAUUGUGUCAGUGUCUCUUUGAAGUGGUUGAUUUGGUCGAUCUAUGCGGACCACAUUUGGUGAAAUAAUUUCUAAUAUUGUGUGAGGUCCUGUGAAAUAUGGCGCAAGUUUCCCUGUAUUUGGGUGGUGAUAUAAUUUUACUAACACUAGAUCACCUACUUCAAAAUGUGGUUGCUUGUGUCGUUGGUCAUAAGUGUUUUUGUCUUGUAAAUGUUUGUUUUGUGUGCGUGUGUGUGCAAUUUUUCUAGCUUUGUCGAUAUCUGGGUACGGUGUUUUAUGAUUAGAGAUUUCUGGGGGUAGGAUACCAAACAUUAAGUAUAUGGGUGGAAAACCUGUGGUAGAGUGGGGUGUCUUGUUAUAUAUAAGUGUAACCUUCUUGACCAACUUGGUCCAUGCGACCUUAGGAUUUUCUAGGUGUAAUAACCUAAGUUUUCCCGUGAGGGUGGCGUUCAGGCGUUCACAUAGACCGUUGGCCUGUGGAUUGUUGCUGGUUGUGAGUAAUGGGUGAAUAUUUCUAUUAAGUAGGAAACUACGAAAUUUUGGCGAAGUGAAAGCAGGGGCUCUAUCCGUAAGAAGGCGUUUUGGAGAGCCAUCCUGUAAUACUCGUUUAAGUACCUGUUGGUAGGUGAUGAUGCUGGUGGAUUUAGAUGGAAAAGUCCACGCGUAGCGCGAAAAAUGAUCGACUACCACAUGGAGGUAUAUCUUGGUGUUGCUAUAUUUGGUAAAUCCUGCUAUGGUGUCCAGAGAUAAAAGGUCGAAGGGUUCUUUAGAUUCCGGAGGUUGACUUAAUUCUCCGUAAGUGGGUCCUACUGGACGUUUUGUUAAUUGGCAGGUGGGACAGGUCUUAACCUUUUGUUUAAUAUCUUUGGACAUACCUUGCCAGUAAUAUUGCGUGGAUAUGAGUCGUGACAUUUGUGAAAUACCGGGGUGAUUGUAUUGUGUGUGUACUGUUUGUAAGAGUUGUUGUAUGAGUGGUUUUGGAAGUAUAAUCUUGGUUACACCUUUUCGGGAAACUGUAUGUAAUCCAUUAUGAUCAAUGGUCAAACUAGACUCUUUCGAUGGAGGAGGUUGGUGGGUCUUGAUAAGGGUGGCGUCCAAGAAUCCACAAAACGGGUUACGGGACAAGAGAUCUGCUUCAUAUUGUAGUUUUCCCUUUAUGUAGCGGACCUCAUAUUCGUAACUCGAUAGUCGUAAACUCCAUCGAAACAGUCUGCCGGACGGGUUCUUGAUGGUUUUCAACCACUGCAAUGCGUGAUGGUCAGAAAAUAUAGUAAAUUUUCUGCCCAUAAGAUAGAUGCGAAACUUCUCCACACUCUCAACGAUUGCUAAGCACUCAAGUUCAGAGAUGGAGUAGUUUUUCUCGUGUGGGCGCAAUGUUCGGCUGAAAUACUGAGCUGGAUAUACGUUUCCGUCAGGGUGAACUUGUUUGAGAAUGCCUGCUAUACCGAGGGUGGAUGCAUCGCAAUACACUUGGCAUGGCAGACCUUCUUUGUAAAGGUGUAAAAUGGGGUGUUGUGUGAGGUUUCCUUUCAGGUCAAUGAACGCCUUUUGACAAACUUCAUUCCAGUUCCACACGACAUCCUUUUUGAGGAGGUUAUUGAGUGGUGCUCGCAAGCGAGCGUAUUCCGGAAUGAAUUUGUUAUAGACGUUCACAGCGCCUAAGAAGGAUUGUAGUGUUUUUCGGUUGUGGGGUUGUUGGAUGGCGUGGAUAAUGUCGGUGUUACGUGUGAGUGGUGUAAUUGUACCAGCUGUAAUGGUGUAACCUAGAAAAUCUAUGGAUUGUUUAAAAAAUUCGCAUUUCACGAAGUUAAGUUGUAGUUUCUCCGCUUCGCAAAAGGCGAAAAAUUGUCGCAGGUGGUUUUGAUGCUCCUCCAACGUGUUGGAGUAAAUGAUGAAAUCAUCAAAGUAAUGUGCCACACAGUCAAGUCCGUGUCUCUGUAGGACCUGACUUAUGGCUCGUUCGUAAAUUUGAGGGCUGGUUUUUAAUCCGAAAGGUAAUCGAGUGGGUUGGUAUAACCCUUCGAGGGUGGCAAAUGCUAACAGUGGUCGAGAAUCGGGGUGUAUCGGGACUUGCCAAUACGCGGAGGAUAUAUCUGCCGUGGAGAAAUAUUUGGCCUGCGCGAGGCGGUCUAGGAUAUCCUCGAUUCUCGGGAGGGGAUGGACAUCAGAGUUGAUUAGCUCGUUCACCUUCCUAUAAUCGAUACAAAACCGUUUGGUCUUGUCGCGCUUAGUGACGAGGGUGACAGGGCUCGAGAAAGGUGAAAAAGAUUGCUCUAUGAUGCCGUUCUCCAGCAUUUGUUGUAUUUGGUUACGGAUUUCUUGUUGGUCACACAUCGGAACACGAUAUGGACGUAUGGUGAUUAUUUUCUCGGAAUUCGUGGGUAUUUUUACUGGUGGAAUCCGUAAGCAUGGUACGUUGAAUUUGUCCUGUGAAAAAAUAUGAGUGUACCUUUGUAGAAGUGUUGUGAACUGUGGUGUAUAGUGAGUGUUAGGUGUUGUGUUGUAGUAUGCAUGGGGUAAAGGGUUUUGUUGUGUAUUAGUGUGAGUGUCGAGUUCGUUGUGUGGGUUGGUCAUGUGAGAGUUGUGCAACGGUGUGUGAUCACCUAUGUUUUUGGUAUGCGAGUUAUCCCGCUGUGUGGGUGCGUUUUGGACAGGUUCAUAAGUUGAAGUUGUUGUGGUUUGAUUAUUUGAGGGCAUGUAAAAAAGGCAAUUGGCUUUAGUGAAAAAGGGGCAUGUAGAUAAGUGGGUUUUUUUCAAUGAAUGCACGCAAUGGUUGUCAUAGGCGGAAAGUUGGGAUGCGGGGAAAAUUUUUUGUGACAUCGCCUGACACUGCCAGUACGUGCAUACAUUGGACACAUGAUUAAAAUGGUAGGAAAGGGUAGACAAUGGGGCGCCCAGCUGGAAUAUAGUGCAUUUAUUAAAAUCUAUGGUUAAUCUGAAUUUAUUGAGGCUAUUGAUACUAAGAAUUCCAAAUGGCAAUGGUGCAUUCACUACAUGGAAAUUCUCCUUUCGUGAUAUUUGUCCUAUUGUCAGUGGGAUAGAUAGUUUACCCAUGGUUUUUGCAAAUCCGUUUAGGGUUUGGAGGUGUAGUGAAUGUCCCUCAAGGGUUAAAUUAGGCAGGUGGGUUUUUAGCAUAUGAUAAAUAUUAUAUGGCACUAUACUCAGGCUGGCGCCUGUAUCAAUUAAAAAGGGGCAUGAUACAUUAGGGGUUAGAAAAAGUUUGACAGUCAGUUGGUUUAGGGAGCCUACCUCAGUCUCGAAAGGGCUGCUCGGCUGGGGUGUCUCUGUCUUGAUUUGGUUGUCGUGGAAUCGGAACUGGUGAUUUUGGGACCGUUUGCACUGUCCGGACUUUCUCGUGGGUCGUCGGGACUGGUCGACGUCGGCAUUCGCUGUGCCAGUGUCUCGCGCCGCAGAACUUGCAGUUGGACGGCGGAAGAGGUGCAUUCCAUGCACCUGGGCGUCGGGGUGUGCUGUGGUAACGACCCGACAUUGUGGGUGGUUGAUCUUCUCUGGGUCGCGUUAUCGGUACACUGGGCCCGUGGAUCCGCUGUACAAGUCGGAACCACUCUCCUAGGUUCUCGGGAGGCACUACGCGGACUAGGCGCUGGUCGUUGAAUGGCAGUCCUUCUGUCAGUGUCUCGAGGAUCACCUCUUGUGGAAGUCCUAGUUGCAAUCCCAUGGCGGUUUUUUCCCGGUAGUAGGUCUCUAGGUUGGCUUGUCCAGUAAGUUUCAUGGCGAAAUAUUUCGCAAAGGACGCUUCGCUUGACUCAGGGUAGAGAUCUAGGAGGAUUUGUCUCACCUGGAAAUAACUCCGGUCGGCCAGCCGAAGUUUCCUGAAGAGCUCCAGGGGUUGUCGCACCAGGUAGUUUGGCAGGCGCAGUAAUUUUUCUUGUUCUCCCAUGGAUGCGUCUUCCAUUUUUCGGUCGAACGUCUGGAAAAACUGUGUCGCGCUGUAUGUGCCGUCGAAAGGCGAGAUUGUCGCCUCCGCUCCAUCAGAAAUUUUUACUCGGGUCAGGAGCGCUGAUAGCUGGUUGACGGCGUCCGCUAGGGGCGCAGUUGUCUCUCGGCCGGUCACCUCCUGUCUUUCUCCUGCCGGUUCGCUCUCUCUUACUUCUUGCCUUCUUUCCAUUGUUUCCGUCGGACCGUCUGACUUUACGCCUAUGGGAUCCUGAUUUAAUUCCAUCUCUUUAUCCUGUCGACUUAACCGUUCUGUGACAAUAUCGUUGCGGAAUUUCUUGUUGUUCGAUUUGAAUGGUGAGGAUUGGUUGAAACGCAGUCGUUUGAGUGGAAGUUUAAGCAUACAGUUAGGAAUAAUCAGGACACGUGAUGGGGUUUGAAAAUAAAAGGCAACUGGGUUGGAGGGAAGAAAGCUUGAGAAGAGCGGAGCGGUUUUGAUUGUUCCUUAUCUAAUCACAUGGCGGUGAUUGUACUUAGCUGUGGGAUGAGCAGAGGGAGAGAGGCCUCGCGAGUAGAUGUCACCUUGUUGGAAGCGGAAUCACAACUGUCCGAACUCGGCGAGAGCCAGUGAACAACUCUAGGUGUUGUUCCUAUGAGAGCCAAAACGUUACUAACUAUUCUUUCUUUUCGAUUUAACACCAAGACUCAGUUUCUUUUUGAUUGGUCGAGAGAUGUCACAUGAUCUUUUCCUAUUGGUCGACCUAUUUAGGUGCUGUCUUCUGAUUGGACCGCGGCUCUCUUUGGUGAAAGAUAUGGCCUGCCUGAUAUAUCCGAUUUCAUCAGGAAGUGUUGGGUAGCUUGACGCUUAUAACUUCGACGGAUAUUAGAUACGUCCUGUUUUGUCAGGAAGUAUUGAGUGCUUCUUGACUAAUAUAACUUCGGCGGUCACUAGAUACGUCCGGUCUCUGCCAGGAAGUGUUGGUUUAAACUUAGCUCGCAGGGACCCGGGGUCAGAAGGUUAACUGCGACGUUAUUAAUAAAUAUGUUCUCCUCUAGAUCUACUUCCUAUGUCUUUUGUUACUUUCUUUCCUCCAGUUACCUUAUUCUUUUAUUAAAUCUUUGAAAAUCAUACAUGGUACAUACAUAGUGGGUCGGGGUUGCAUUUAAUUAUAUACAAAUUAUGACAUAUAUAUAUAUACUAUAUCACUCGAGGUUAUAUAUAUAUAUAUAUGUUGUAACACCAAGUAAGCCGACGUGUGAAUAAACUGGCAGUCGUAAGUCGUGAGGCGAAGUGUUGAGAUUCUUCCCACACGUGGACAGCAAGAAGCAGAGGUAGGGCUAAAUGUUAGUACCGAGCGGGUCGGAGACAGUCCACGGGACAGAGGUGGAGGCCAUGACACAAACUUGGAUGCCUAACACCGAGACAAGGAUAGAGAGACAGAAGCGGCCUGCGUAGAUGGACACACUGUAGCACACUCUGAGCUGACACUGCUGUGUUGACCCCGGAAGGGGCUCCUUACUGGGCGUGUCAUAUUUUUUGGCUUUGCCUCGUAGCUGUUUCCAGACCACUCUUUUGCUGUUUUUAUUUUGACGUCAUAGUUUUGAGUUUAAUUACAAAAUUUAAUAAAGAUAUAGCAUAUCAUACAAAAUAUGGGGAGUGGUAGCAAAUAGGAGCAGUGUACAUUCUAAUAGGAAGGUAAGAUCUUAUAAAUUUUUGGUUCUAACUUAACUAAUUAGAAGAUAUGUGAAAUAUACUAACAGUGUUAUUAUAUUACUAGCCGAAUGACCCGGGCAACGCCCGUGUUUUACCCGAUUGAAUGUUUUAUUCAAAAUACUAUUUGUUACAAUUAUAAAUUGGCGUCUUAAAUAAAUGCAUAUUUUAGUUAAUAACUAUAGCCUAUGUGCUUUAUCUGUCUAUGUACUGUUGGCUUCCGUAGGCGUCUCUUACUGGGAAAAAGAAAGAGAGGAUUCCAUUUGGUUUUUAACUAAUAUAUGCAUUUAUUUAAGGAGCGACCCGCUCCAACACAAUAGUUACAAAAACGAAAGAGCGAGUGGGGGGGGGGGGGGGCAAAGGUGGCGUGAUCGUAGCCAACCAAUAGGAGGGCGCCAUUCCAAAAAAAAAAAAGCAAACGGUGACAGAGACGAAAACUGAAUGAUUAGGAGAUGAAGAAUGACGCUCGUAACUGUAUAUAGAAUGUAUAUCUAAACUACGUAGAAAUCUUCAAUCCGGAUAAUAAGACAAAUGCACAAAAUUUCUGACUUCUAGGUGUCCUUGGAAAAACGGAAUAUACUAGAGAAUAGAAGUCGUAUAUUUCCUUUAAAAGGAGAAAUUUUGGAGGAAGCCGAUUCCGUAGCGUAAGGAGCAGCUAGCAUUCUAUAAAAAUGUGGUCGGGAAUAGAUUCAUUUUAAUACUUCAUUUCAAAUUUUGUGAUAAAUUCUAAAUAUAAUUUUAAACCAAACAACACUUUUACUUACACUUAACACUUUUGAUUGAGAUACUUCGUUGAAGUAGAAAUAAUUUCGCUAUGAUAUAUUUUUGUGAAAAUAGCACAAAAGUGAAUUUGUACUUGGAUCAUUUGGAUAGAUUGAGAAAAAAAAAGGUUCAUUUUCUGAUCGUGCAACUAGCUGAUGGCUUGCGCCAUCUAUCGGAAUAAAUAUCAACUAAUCGUUCAUUUUUAAAUAUUCCAGAAUUCCGAUAGAUAGCAACUUUUUGUUGCACGAUCAGGAAAUUUUUCUCAAUCUAUGAUAUCUUUGUGUGUGUGUGUAAAUUUAGAAUUCAUUAUUAAAAUUUAAUAAAUACACCUAUCCCCCGAUUUACACGGUACUUGUUUUACACGAUUUCGCUUUUACA